GCCGAGUGGUCGCUGCUCGGCGUGCCCGCGGCCCCUCCCAAUGCGCCUGCGCUUCCCCGGCUCCUAGCAACCGCCAGGCAGGAGCAGCAGAGGACCGAGCGGUCGUUGGUCUCCCCAAGGGGUCCUGCUCCUCCUGCCAAUAAGAUGCCUGCUCCCACUCUCCCUUCUGCCAUGACUGGAAGCUCCCUGAGGCCUCCCCAGAAGCAGAAGCCGCCAUGCUUCCUGUACAGCCUGAGGAACUGUGAGCCAAUUAAAC
rnacentral:lncRNA from 1 species